rnacentral:ncRNA from 20 species
UUAGUGAUGACAAUACUGUGUCUUUAAGGUAAUUUACUCCUAAUGUUAGCACAAUGAUUUCUCAAUAGACUACAACGGUAUCUGAUU